rnacentral:rRNA from 1 species
GACGAACGCUGGCGGCGUGCUUAACACAUGCAAGUCGAACGGAAAGGCCCUGCUUUUGUGGGGUGCUCGAGUGGCGAACGGGUGAGUAACACGUGAGUAACCUGCCCUUGACUUUGGGAUAACUUCAGGAAACCGGGGCUAAUACCGGAUAGGAGCUCCUGCUGCAUGGUGGGGGUUGGAAAGUUUCGGCGGUUGGGGAUGGACUCGCGGCUUAUCAGCUUGUUGGUGGGGUAGUGGCUUACCAAGGCUUUGACGGGUAGCUGGCCUGAGAGGGUGACCGGCCACAUUGGGACUGAGAUACGGCCCAGACUCCUACGGGAGGCAGCAGUGGGGAAUAUUGCACAAUGGGCGGAAGCCUGAUGCAGCAACGCCGCGUGCGGGAUGACGGCCUUCGGGUUGUAAACCGCUUUCGCCUGUGACGAAGCGUGAGUGACGGUAAUGGGUAAAGAAGCACCGGCUAACUACGUGCCAGCAGCCGCGGUGAUACGUAGGGUGCGAGCGUUGUCCGGAUUUAUUGGGCGUAAAGGGCUCGUAGGUGGUUGAUCGCGUCGGAAGUGUAAUCUUGGGGCUUAACCCUGAGCGUGCUUUCGAUACGGGUUGACUUGAGGAAGGUAGGGGAGAAUGGAAUUCCUGGUGGAGCGGUGGAAUGCGCAGAUAUCAGGAGGAACACCAGUGGCGAAGGCGGUUCUCUGGGCCUUUCCUGACGCUGAGGAGCGAAAGCGUGGGGAGCGAACAGGCUUAGAUACCCUGGUAGUCCACGCUGUAAACGGUGGGUACUAGGUGUGGGGUCCAUUCCACGGGUUCCGUGCCGUAGCUAACGCUUUAAGUACCCCGCCUGGGAAGUACGGCCGCAAGGCUAAAACUCAAAGGAAUUGACGGGGCCCCGCACAAGCGGCGGAGCAUGCGGAUUAAUUCGAUGCAACGCGUAGAACCUUACCUGGGUUUGACAUGGAUCGGGAGCGCUCAGAGAUGGGUGUGCCUCUUUUGGGGUCGGUUCACAGGUGGUGCAUGGCUGUCGUCAGCUCGUGUCGUGAGAUGUUGGGUUAAGUCCCGCAACGAGCGCAACCCUUGUUCACUGUUGCCAGCACGUUAUGGUGGGGACUCAGUGGAGACCGCCGGGGUCAACUCGGAGGAAGGUGGGGAUGACGUCAAGUCAUCAUGCCCCUUAUGUCCAGGGCUUCACGCAUGCUACAAUGGCUGGUACAGAGAGUGGCGAGCCUGUGAGGGUGAGCGAAUCUCGGAAAGCCGGUCUCAGUUCGGAUUGGGGUCUGCAACUCGACCUCAUGAAGUCGGAGUCGCUAGUAAUCGCAGAUCAGCAACGCUGCGGUGAAUACAUUCCCGGGGCU